GACGAACGCUGGCGGCGUGCCUAAUACAUGCCAGUAGAACGCUGAAGGAGGAGCUUGCUCUUCUGGAUGAGUUGCGAACGGGUGAGUAACGCGUAGGUAACCUGCCUGGUAGCGGGGGAUAACUAUUGGAAACGAUAGCUAAUACCGCAUAACAGUAGAUGUUGCAUGACAUUUGCUUAAAAGGUGCAAUUGCAUCACUACCAGAUGGACCUGCGUUGUAUUAGCUAGUUGGUGGGGUAACGGCUCACCAAGGCGACGAUACAUAGCCGACCUGAGAGGGUGAUCGGCCACACUGGGACUGAGACACGGCCCAGACUCCUACGGGAGGCAGCAGUAGGGAAUCUUCGGCAAUGGACGGAAGUCUGACCGAGCAACGCCGCGUGAGUGAAGAAGGGUUUCGGAUCGUAAAGCUCUGUUGUAAGAGAAGAACGAGUGUGAGAGUGGAAAGUUCACACUGUGACGGUAUCUUACCAGAAAGGGACGGCUAACUACGUG
rnacentral:rRNA from 1 species